ensembl:lncRNA
ACGAACACCCGGCGGUCUGGCUGAAAGUCCUGCGUUCGUCAGACAGAUUCAUCCACUACGUCGCUUGGUGACACGACGCGGUGAAGUCGGCCUGGUUUAAACUAUUAGCUCCUCCUCCUCCUUCGUCUAGUUUCUCCGGCAUGAAGAGAAACGCAGCCGACUCUUAUUGUCUUUUAGCCGUCUUCUCCCUCAGAGCCUCAAAUCAAUGGAAUUCAUUAACGCAAUCAAGUCGAGUCCACAUCCUUAAGAGAAAACACAGAUUGUGAGGAUUAGUAAGCCGCUCGUCAUGCCCAGAUGAACACUCCAUGUGAGUUUAACUAUUGAUGUAAACGUUUAUUAUUCUAGGAGGCCUAAAAACAUCUGUGGAUGGAACCAGCCUUUCACUUCGCUAACUGGGUUUGAGUGUGUUUAACGUACAUUGACCACAGAAAACGUGUUACAUUAAAAGAAAUGGUCAUUUUCGGCAGGAUGAUUCAUCAUAUUUGUUUUGUGCCGCUCGGCGUUUCUCCGUGGCGACGGCCACUAAUCGAUUUGUGCACCAACAAUAUCAAAAACAAAGCCGACCAAUCGGAAUGGAAUGAACAUCCGCGCGUGACGAACCUCUUCCUGCCCGAGCAGCUCUCGACCUUCCACGGAAAGAAAACCUCUACCGUUCCAUUACUGUAGAACACCGAGCAGCUCCGUGGCUGAGUGACGACCAUCGUGCACCGCUCGCGUCUUCGGGUCAAGUACCGCCGAAGCCUCCGGGCCCUGAGGGUCGGAGGUCACUCGUGCGCUCACGCCGGAGGCUGACGAAGCCCCCGGCGUGUGCUGGGUUACUGCUUCCCGCUGUCAUUUGUUUGGGAGACGGGAGGAAGAGGCUCUUGACACCUCACGCAGUAAUGAAAAUGUAAAAAGGCUGGCGGGUGCGACAAUGGCCCCUCGGUUUAUAAUGAGCUUACAGCAUGUUAAUAGACUGCGGUGCGCCACUUGCCGUCGUCCUAAUAUCCAGCAAAUAUUCCUCACGUAGGUGAGGAACCUUUAACUGGGUACGAAAUGCCCUGCUGGGAUCCAUACAAUAGUGUGGAGUCAUCUCACGCUGCAGAGUGGAGGCGCAUGGCGGCAUCAGGGCCCCGGGUCAGAGGUCGCUCGUAGUUUCAAGAGAGCAAACGCGACGCUGCGAGUGACGCUCGGACCCCGAACCUGUCAUGGCUGCAGGCGCCCGCUGGGCUCCGUCUCUGACGCCGCCUCGCUGCACUCGGAGGGGAAGUGUCCGUGAGCAGGAGAAAGCAGAGCGAGACUUUCUCUGAAGCGCAUGUCGGCAAACAUGGCAGUGAACUUUAGAAGUAAUUUAUUCGGCAGACAGGAGCUGAGCGAGAUUGAUGCUCAUAUUUCAACCCUCGCUGGUUUUCCAUAAUUCACCCGCCUGGUGCGCUGCUGCCAGUCAGACGCCGUGCAAGGAAGCGCGGCGUGUUCUCCCCAACCGCCGCGCUCGCGCUGAUAAUCAAAUCCCAGCGGCGCGCCUCGCGCUGCGUUAGCGUCGGAUGGAAUGCAGUCGGGACUCCUCGAGGGCCCGAAGCUCCGGGAAAAAAAAACCCCGACUGAUCCGUCCGCGGCUCAACGCAUGAAUGAAGGACGAGAGGUUUCCACGUGAAGAGAAGGUUUGGGAUCCUUCGUUGUGUUGCAAAUCAUCUGCUGUAGGACCCGGGGUUCAGGGUCACGACUCAUAAAGGACGCGGGACUCCCGGGAGUCAGCGGUGUUUCACUUUAGUUUUGUUACGUAGCUUAAAUAAGGCGUAAGCAGUUAUUGGUUGUCUAUUUAUCUGAUCAGAGCUUCUUCACUUUAUUAAAGUUAAAAGCCUCCGUUGUGAGUUUAUAAUGAAAACACUCACUCAUGCAUUCCCUGUGAACACAUGCAUUUAUUUAAAAGUGACGCUAUAACUACAAGCGAUUGGGUUUACGGAUUAAAACGCGGGUUUAGGACUCAAAAGGAAAAUGUUGUGGACAAGAGCGAUGAAAGCAGAAGACAUGAAGCUGGAUGAUCCCAAGCAACACGUGGAAUAUGAAAUUCACCCCUUAUUAAUAAUUGAUUUGACUAUUUAUUUAUUCAAUUAUAAGCUUGACUAAUCAGCCCGCCUAUUAGUGUCCCCUCCGGGACCGUUCACCGCGUUGUCUCCGGGGGGGCAAAGCUUCAUUCCGGAGCCACCAAUCUCUCAUUUCAGGUGAAUUAUAAAGCAUUUGUAAUUCAGAAAACAUCUAAUUUGUUGUUUUGCCGCUUUCCAAUUUUACAGACAAGUCUUAAGCCAACAGCCGUAAAUAAUUAUGCAAACAAACAAUAAUCAAAAUGCAGGGAAGCUCCGGCCUGUCAGUUAAUAUUUAAUCAGCAAUAUGCGGUUUGUGAAGAGGAAAAUGGAAUUACUGAUGGAAUUGCCCCCCCCCACCCC